rnacentral:rRNA from 1 species
GGGCCCGCACAAGCGGUGGAGCAUGUGGUUUAAUUCGACGCAACGCGAAGAACCUUACCUACACUUGACAUCCUCGGAACUUUCUAGAGAUAGAUUGGUGCCUUCGGGAACCGAGUGACAGGUGCUGCAUGGCUGUCGUCAGCUCGUGUCGUGAGAUGUUGGGUUAAGUCCCGUAACGAGCGCAACCCUUAUCCUUAAUUGCCAGCGGUUAGGCCGGGAACUCUAAGGAGACUGCCGAUGACAAAUCGGAGGAAGGUGGGGACGACGUCAAGUCAUCAUGGCCCUUACGUGUAGGGCUACACACGUGCUACAAUGGCCGGUACAAACGGUUGCGAACCCGCGAGGGGAAGCUAAUCCGAGAAAGCCGGUCGUAGUCCGGAUUGGGGUCUGCAACUCGACCCCAUGAAGUCGGAAUCGCUAGUAAUCG